UCAACACAUUCUCACUCCCAUCUUGCAUAAAGCGACGCUUGGUCAGGUGCCUUUUGCUUUUGUUAUUGACGCAAAAAUUCUCCUUUAGCGUGAUAUUUAGACGCUCUUGGUCGGGACCCUUGGCGUCCCUUUUUGACGCUCUGGGUCGAGACUAAUGGCGUCACAACUUGAU